GAAGUAAGAGCAGCCCGCGAAACCCACUUAAUUAUUCCCUUCUCUCUCUCUCUAUACCUUCUUGUCAAAUCUGCUACUUCCCCUUCAUCAAUCCACCAAAAAAAUGAACCCUUUUACCAUUUCUUUCCCUGUGCUUGAUCGGCCGACUCCCCCAUUCAUCAGCACUAUCAUAUAUGUCUCUCUCUAUAUGAUCAGAACAGCUUCCCCCGACAGUUGGUUCUUCUUGCUCUUAUGGGAAGACCCAAAAACUCCCUCCUCCCCUCCCACAAUAACACCAAUCUCGGCUUAGCCGAAUCCUCCAACGGCAUCCGCCACCACCUCGUCGACCACCCUUCACGGGAUGUCGAGAACGGGGAGGCCGGGUUCCUCGGUUCGGUGUUCGGGUUCUUGCGCCAGUUCAUGUCCAGAGGGAAGAUCGAUGGGGGUUCGAGGUCGGAGGCGGAGGAGAAAGUCUACUCGUGGCUGUAUGCCCUGGCAAAGUCGAAUAGAGACUUGGUGUUCGAGUAUGUUCAGUCAACAGAAAGGGGCCUGAGUUUCGCUGAAGCAGAGAGGAGAUUGAAAGAAAAUGGCCCCAAUGCACCUCUUGACAACACUUUUCUCAGCUGGUGGCAUCUUCUGUGGAGUGCAUUCUUCCACCCAUUCAACAUAAUCCUGAUUGUCUUGUCAGUGCUUUCGUACAUAACUAGCGAUAACCCGAAUGGGUGCAUUAUGCUCGUACUUGUAUUCAUAAGUGUGUCCCUUCGAUUCUAUCAGGAAUACAGCAGUUCAAAAGCAGCUAUGAAACUCUCGGAAUUUGUAAGAUGCCCCAUUAAAGUUCAGAGAUGUGCUGGCAGAGUAGUUCAGACAGAAUUAGUGGUUCAAGUUGAUCAGAAGGACAUUGUUCCUGGAGAUAUCGUGAUUUUUGAACCAGGGGAUCUUUUUCCUGGCGAUGUGAGGCUAUUAUCUUCAACGCACCUUGUUGUGAGCCAGGCCUCCUUAACAGGGGAGUCCGUAACAACGGAGAAAACAGCUGAUAUACAAGAAGACGACAGUACCCCCUUGCUCGAUUUAAGGAAUAUCUGCUUCAUGGGAACAAACGUGGUAUCUGGUUGUGGGACCGGCUUAGUUGUUUCAACCGGGUCCAAGACUUACAUGAGCACAGUGUUCUCAAGCCUUGGAAAGCAAAAACCUCCAAACGACUUCGAGAAGGGUGUCAGGCGAAUAUCUUAUGUCCUUGUUGGGGUCAUGUUAGUAGUCGUCACUAUUAUCAUCUUGACCGUAUUUUUAACAUCACGCAACCUAAGUGAGAGCUUCCUGUUCGGGAUCUCAGUUGCAUGUGCCCUCACCCCUCAGAUGCUUCCCCUCAUCGUCAACACAUGCCUUGCUAAAGGGGCGCUUGCUAUGGCGAAGGAUCGGUGCGUGGUAAAAAGCUUGACUGCAAUAAGAGAUAUGGGAUCCAUGGAUAUUUUGUGUAUCGACAAGACUGGUACACUCACCAUGAACCAGGCAAUAAUGGUAGACCAUCUCGACAGUUGGGGUACUCAAAGGGAAGAGGUCUUACGGUUUGCAUUUCUAAACUCUUAUUUUAAGAUGGAGCAGAAGUAUCCGCUUGAUGAUGCAAUAUUGGCACACGUCUACACAAAUGGGUUCAGGUUCCAGCCUUCCAAGUGGGCAAAAGUAAAUGAGAUCCCCUUCGAUUUCAUAAGAAGAAGGGUAUCAGUCAUCAUAGAAACAGAAUCUGCUGCAACAGGGAGGAAUAAGAAAUCUCUCGAGAGGUUCAUGGUAACUAAAGGUGCGCUUGAAGAAGUGUUGAAAGUCUGUUCAUAUAUUGAUAGUUUCGAUAAUGGUGGGAUUAUUCCAUUUUCUUUCGAAGAGUGCCAGCGGAUUCUAAAUUUGAGUGAAGAAAUAAGCAAUGAGGGACUACGCAUUAUAGGAGUUGCAAUAAAGAAAAUAGCUAUGCAGCCAAACAAUAAAAGGAAGAAUGAGGAUGGGACCGUAGACUCUGAGUCGGACAUGGUGUUCCUUGGCCUAAUCACAUUCUACGACCCACCCAAGGACACCGCCAAGCAAGCACUAUGGCGGUUAGCUGAGAAGGGUGUGAAGGCCAAAGUGUUGACUGGCGACUCCCUCUCCCUCGCGAUAAAGGUCUGCAGGGAAGUCGGGAUCAGGACAACCCAUGUGAUCACUGGUCCAGAGCUUGAGCUCAUGGACCAAGAGUCCUUCCAUGAGACGGUCCAUCGUGCCACAGUACUUGCCCGCCUCACCCCGUCCCAGAAGCUCCGUGUUGUGCAGUCCCUGCAAAUGGUUGGGAACCACAUUGUUGGCUUUUUGGGGGAUGGGAUUAAUGACUCCCUAGCCCUUGACGCAGCGAAUGUGGGCAUCUCUGUCGACUCUGGAGCCUCCGUAGCCAAGGACUUAUCUGACAUCAUAUUGCUUGAGAAGGACCUUAACGUGCUGGUCACGGGGGUAGAACGGGGACGGGCAACGUUUGGAAACACCAUGAAGUACAUAAAAUUGUCCGUGAUUGCGAAUGUUGGGAGUGUCCUGUCCCUCCUGAUUGCAACCUUGUUCCUCCAGUUUGAGCCCCUAACGCCAAGGCAGCUUCUCGCCCAAAAUUUUCUGUACAGCAUCGGUCAGAUUGCAAUCCCAUGGGACAAGAUGGAGGAGGACUACAUCAAGAAACCGCAGAAGUGGUCACAGAAGGACCUCCCGAUCUUCAUACUGUGGAACGGACCGCUCUGCACACUGUGCGAUGUGGCGACCCUCAUGUUCCUCUGGUUCUAUUACAAUGCUGACCAGGUCUCCCAGGACGUCUUCUUUCGAUCGGGUUGGUUCAUCGAGGGCCUCCUGAUGCAAACUUUAAUCAUCCACUUGAUCCGAACUGAGAAAAUCCCCUUUAUCCAGGAGGUAGCUGCCUGGCCCGUGAUUCUGUCCACGGUGGUGAUUUCCUCAAUCGGGAUAGCGAUCCAAUUUACAAUUAUAGGGAGUGUGAUGGGGUUUGGCACGGUCCCGUUGUCGUAUUUCGGAUUCUUGGUCGUGUUAUUUUUGGGAUAUUUUACGAUAGGGCAGGUGAUCAAGAGGCUUUACAUCCUCGUAUACAAAAGGUGGCUAUAGUAUUUCUUUGGACCAAUGAAGUCCCUGGGGAAGUCAGUACAGUUAACGAUUUUGUUCUCCAGUUGUACAUCGACUACGAGUUUGGGCUCAAAUUUGUCGACAAUUUUGGGUUCUUUCAGAAUAAAACGGAGCAUAGAUUCUGUCUUCUUCAACUCUGUCAGGAGCUAACUCCGAUCCAUUUUGUCCGAAAUUACAUGCACUCCACAUCUCAACAGGAACAAGAAAUAUUUGUAGCUUUUUUUCCGGUACGGACGCGGGAGGGUUAUGGAGGAUUAUUACGUUGUUUAAUAAAAUACCUUUCUGACU